UUCUAAUAGGAAAAGGAAAUGAUAAUUGACAGGAACUUUGUGAUACUAGGAGGAGAGGAGGGGUUCCAAAUGCUCGUUGAUGCCUUGGUUUGGGAUUCAGAUGCCUUAAGUUGAUGCAUAUUGCAUCAUGUUCCUUCAACUGGCCAUGCUUGUCUUUGGGUAUCAUGGAUCACUUAAUCUCCUGGGAAUGUUAAAAUCAGAAGUAACUAAAAUUUCUUAUCCAUUUUCUAAGCAUUUUCAGCUGUGUGUGUGUGUUUUUUUUUCCGUUUCUAUUGUAAAUCUUAUAGGCAGAGAAGGUAUUCAACCAGGGCACGUUUUUCAAGAAGACUGUCAAAUAUGUUGGAGAGCCAAUGACCCACUUGGAAUCCACUUGAAAUGAAUUGAAGAGGAAAUAAUGUGAAGAAGAUGAAAGCCGGGGGGGAGAAAAGGAAAAAUUAUCACUUUAUUAAUUUUUUAUUUUUGGUUGUUGUCGUUUAAAGGUUGGAACAUGAAAUAAACGCCGUCUGGUAAUAGCUGUUGACUGGAUUUGCUUUUUAAUAUUUUUUUCCUGUGUGGUUGACGCUCUAGGUCGGGAUUUGCACUAUUUCUUCUUCCCCAGUGCUGCUCUUCGUAAAUCAAAGUUAAUGAAGAUUUACUUAGAUUUCUUCGUUUUCGUUGAUUAUAUCUUUGAACGCAGAUUCAUAAUUAAAUAUCUUCGUUUUCGUUGAUUAUAUCGUUGAAGAGCAGCUGAAGAAAAGCCUGUUACAUGUCAAAUAUGAUUACUUACAAGUGGCAAUUCAGGAGGGGCACAUAAGCAGUUGUAAUUCUCUUGUAAAGCAAUUAUACCAGAAAGCACUUGCUGUCAAGUCUGCAAUACCACAUCCUAGGAUCAUAGGAAUAAUUCGUGAAUGUGGUGGCAAGAUGCAUAUGGCUGAGCGUCAGUGGGCUGAGGCAGCCACAAAUUUCUUUGAAGCUUUCAAGAACUAUGAUGAAACUGGAAAUCAGAGACGUAUACAAUGCCUAAAAUACCUUGUUCUAGCUAACAUGCUGAUGGAAUCU